UCCUGACCUGACUUUCCUGGAUGGUGUCCUAUGGCAGCUCAUGGUUGUGGGUAAGAUCUCUGGACCAAGCUCUCUCCUGUCUGCAGAAAAGUGCCAUUUCCCACUAUUCUUAGGGACAUAAACCUAGUACAUGGAGGUUGCAACGCAUGAUAUGUGGACCAUCUCAUGAAGAGGAAGAACACCACAGACUUACAGGCUGGGACCUGCAAUGCUGUGCCUCAUGCACACUUCUAGACAGAGGAACAGAGCUGGCUCUUACCAGUGUCAGCUGAGGAGUCCCAGGAACUGGCUUUGAAGAUGCAUCGUAUGUCCAUGGCCUGGUCACCUGUGAGUGAUAGGAAUAACCAAGAAGCACAGCUACCAAGUGCAGGGUCGUGUUUGUAAGGAGCUGACACACAAGAACAAUUGAUGUGUGAAAAGAACCAGAAGGAGAAGAGGAGGAAGCCGCCGGAACCACAGUUUCUAAGCCUGUCUACACCUGGAGUAGACUACUGACAUCCUGCCAUGCCCAGCCUGCUCUUGACAUGUCCCCUGUAGUCUCCUCACACAGACACACCAGACAAACCUCCUGGGAGCUAUAUUUUUGGCUCACACGUUAUUUAAAAUGUGGUAACAAAUAAGAUGCUAUGCUGUCAAGGAUAAAUUUAUUCAAAGUGAAAUAACAACUCCAUUUUAAAGUAGUCCUAUCUCUAGAGAUAUCUCUUCAAAAUUUGAGAUCUGAGCCUUCAGCUCUUCAUGCCACCAUGCCUGCUGCCUUCCACCUGCCACCACAAUUUCCUGUCAUAGUGUACUCUUAUCCCUCUUGAACCAUAAGCACAAAUAAACUCUUUCUUA